UACAACAAUAACAUAUCAAACAGUGCUCACAAACAAGCUACAUAACCAUCAAGAGUAUCAAUCAUACUAUAAAUAUCCACAUACUAAACAAAAAUAUAUACACACAUGCUAUGGGACUUAUUUUUGCCCAAAUAGUCAUGACCUACAGGGAACAAUCUAUAUUCAUGUACCAUACUGGUGUGGUACCCGAUCCACUAUAUACAUAUUCAUAUCGGCGUAGUACCCGAUCCAUCAUAU
rnacentral:lncRNA from 1 species